AAGCAGUAGGAUGUUUUCAUGUAUGCUGCACAUCGAUGUGGACAGGCAGAAGCUCAGAAACCAAAAAUGUCUUCCGUCAAUGUAAUUUUGUUGGAAAUCUGAGCAUACAGUUGUUCAGAUCUCACCUUGCCAUGGAAGUUUUUACAUGCCUACCUCAUUAUUCCAAAGAGUUGUAACUUUCUCGGGGCCAGGCAAUGAAUUGUAUCUUCCAUGAUGUUGUGGAGUUAUGUCCCAAAGGAAGUGCUGCUAAGUUGUUUUACUUUAUCCAGAGGCAGACGCUCCAUUGUACCAGGCUGAAUUUACAAAGUACAAUGCAUUCUGAAAUUCAAGACAAAGCAAAAUACAAGGAGAAAAUGAAAAUCUGUUCUACUAAAAAAGAAAUCCUUCCACAACUGAAGAGAUACAUAUUGACUUUUCUGGUGACAGAGGCGGAUGUGACAGGUGUUUAUGCCUGAACAGCUCCAGAGAUAAGUGGAAAAUUUGAUUUUCAAGUGAUCCUGGCAUACUCAUGGAAUGAGGAAUGUGGAAAAAGAAAGCAUAAUUGAAAGACAGUUAUUUGGCUUCCAUAUUGAGCAACUAUUUCUCCUAUUUUGAAAGCCAGGUGGAAGAGUUGCUCUGGUUUAAUAGGACUGCGUUUACAGGGCAGGCUGCUUAUUGGCUAUGUGACACGCUGCCUAUAGCUACCUGCAAAUAAACAGAAAUGUGGGUCAAGGUCCACAUCUGGGGUACCAAGCACUUAAAUUCUGCACUGAGCAUGGCUUUUAAAGAUGUAUAUGUAGUGCAGAGUUCUCAUCCCAGUGUGCCUUUGUGGUAUAUAUUCAUCACUUACUGAAAUAACAUAUAAAUCCCAACUAUAGGAGAAAACUAAAUAAAA